CUAACCUAACCUAACCUAACCUAACCUAACCUAACCUAACCUAACCCAACCCAACCCAAACCCAACCCAAACCCAACUCGGUUAGGACUGCCAAUCAAACCGCAACCACCUCAUUGAAAAUACCCAAAGUCGAGACCUAACUUCAAAGAGGGGGAGUAAGGUCUCCAAAGGUCAAAGUCGAAUCUAAAAAAAAGGUUAGGUCUCAAAAAAAAAAGAGUUAGGUCUGGAAAAGGUUAAAUCUCGAAAAACAGCGGAAUAUUAAAAAAGGUUAAAUCUCAAAAAGGUUAGGUCUGGAAAAAGGUUAGGUCUCAAAAAUUUCAAAAAAAAAUUCCAAAAAUCGGUCCAAAAUUUGUCGUGCCAAAACGCGUUUCUCGACCUUCUGAAUCGAUUGGUACAGUCGUAACUUGACCGGUUUUUCCAACCAAAUGUAAGACUAGGGACUUAGAAAAAUUUCAAAAAAAUUCCAAAAAUUCCAAAAAUCGGUCCAAAAUUUGUAGUGCCAAAACGCGUUUCUCGACUUUCUGAAUCGAUUGGUACAGUCGUAACUUGACCGGUUUUUCCAACCAAAUGUAAGACUAGGGACUUAGAAAAAUUUCAAAAAAA